UACGGGGGGAGCAAGCGUUUGUUCGGAUUUACUGGGCGUAAAGGGCGCGUAGGCGGCCCGCUAAGUCGAACGUGAAAUCCCCGAGCUCAACUCGGGAACUGCGUCCGAUACUGGCGGGCUUGAAUCCGGGAAAGGGAUGCGGAAUUCCAGGUGUAGCGGUGAAAUGCGUAGAUAUCUGGAGGAACACCGGUGGCGAAGGCGGCAUCCUGGACCGGCAUUGACGCUGAGGCGCGAAAGCUAGGGGAGCAAACGGG
rnacentral:rRNA from 1 species